CAAUAGCGUAUAUUAAAGUUGUUGCAGUUAAAAAGCUCGUAGUUGGAUUUGUGGUCUGAGGCGAGGCUCGGCAUUGCGCUGUGACUUUUGCCUCGGAUCAUCCUUGGGUGGAAUCUGUGUGGCAUUAGGUUGUCGUGCAGGGGAUGCCCAUCGUUUACUGUGAAAAAAUUAGAGUGUUCAAAGCAGGCUUAUGCCGUUGAAUAUAUUAGCAUGGAAUAAUGAGAUAGGACCUGGGUACUAUUUUGUUGGUUUGCGCACCCUGGUAAUGAUUAAUAGGGUCAGUUGGGGGUAUUCGUAUUCCAUUGUCAGAGGUGAAAUUCUUGGAUUUCUGGAAGACGAACUACUGCGAAAGCAUUUACCAAGGAUGUUUUCAUUAA
rnacentral:rRNA from 1 species